CCCUUAGACGUUCUGGGCCGCACGCGCGCUACACUGACCAGUGCAACAAGCAUCCGUCCUUGGCCGACAGGCCCGGGCAAUCUUUGAACGCUGGUCGUGAUGGGGAUAGACUUUUGCAAUUUUUGGUCUUCAACGAGGAAUUCCUAGUAAACGCAAGUCAUCAACUUGCAUUGAUUACGUCCCUGCCCUUUGUACCCACCGCCCGUCGCACCUACCGAUUGAAUGGUCCGGUGAAGCCUCCGGAUUGGCGCGCACCUCGGUGCCGCCGAGAAGUUGGCUAAACCUUACCAUUUAGAGGAAGGUGAAGUCGUANCA
rnacentral:rRNA from 1 species